UGGGGAAUAUUGCACAAUGGGGGGAACCCUGAUGCAGCGACGCCGCGUGAGUGAAGAAGUAUUUCGGUAUGUAAAGCUCUAUCAGCAGGGAAGAAAAUGACGGUACCUGAGUAAGAAGCCCCGGCUAACUACGUGCCAGCAGCCGCGGUAAUACGUAGGGGGCGAGCGUUAUCCGGAUUUACUGGGUGUAAAGGGAGCGUAGACGGCGAUGCAAGUCUGGAGUGAAAACCCAGGGCUCAACCCUGGGCAUGCUUUGGAAACUGUAUAGCUGGAGUGCAGGAGAGGCAGGCGGAAUUCCUAGUGUAGCGGUGAAAUGCGUAGAUAUUAGGAGGAACACCAGUGGCGAAGGCGGCCUGCUGGACUGAGACUGACGUUGAGGCUCGAAGGCGUGGGGAGCAAACAGG
rnacentral:rRNA from 1 species